GGCAGGGGACUCCUGCUGCCGGAGGGGCCGUGUUAUCCACGCCAAAGCCAGCUCUGAGUAAGGGAACCAGGUUUACCCUGGCCAGACUGAAAACCUCAUAGUUUCUCCUUCUGAAUUUUUACUAUUUCUUCUUUAGAAACAAAUUUGCAGCUGGAAAGUGUUAGAGCUUUUCACUCCUAACUACCGAGUUAGGUUGCUCUCUUUACAUUUCCAAACUCCUAAAGUCAGGGUGAAGGGGGCAAACAGAUCUAGAAUGCUCUUUCUUAAAAAGAAACCUAUUAUAUCCUAAGUGUUCCGUAGUAAAGUAAGAGGGCUGUGGUAGGCCAGAGCAGAGAAUAAGGCGAGAGCUGUGGCAGGCAUGAGACAACCUGAAAUCAAAGACGCAGGAAAAUUUCUGUGCAGCCGGGAAACUAGGAAACCUAAAAUUCCUCAAAUUCAAGGCUUUGCCCCUAAACCGAGUCAAGCACCAGAAUUCCAUUUCUGGCUAUUUUUAGGUGAGGAACCUAAAAAUCAAAUGCACUAGCUGGCGGGGAAAACUCAAGGAGUGAACUGGGAAGUAAAUAACGUCUCUUGGGCCUCUCUGAAAAAUGUGCCGGGAGAAACAAAAACGGGGUCACCGGGCAGAAGCUCCACUAAGGAAAUUGCAGGCAAUCUGGGAGCGCGAAACCUGUGGAAGUGCGGAGUCUGAAGCCGGCUGGGUCGGCGUCGGCUGCCCAGCCCGGAGCCUCCGGCCCGCGGAGGCAGAGCCUGGCUUUCCCGCGCCUGGGACCUCCAGGGCGCUUAACCUGCGGGGACAGAGGGCUGCAUCGCCGGGCGUGCCAGGGCUCCUCAGCGCCCAGAGUCACCUGCAAGGAAAGAAGGAGAGAUCUGAACAAGUUGGUAAGCACUUGAGCACCUGA
rnacentral:lncRNA from 1 species